rnacentral:rRNA from 1 species
AGUCCGAGUGUAUUCCUAUAGAAGUGUUUUCCUUUGAGUACCCGAGAUACAAGUCUUCUGAAAAGAAGCAUCAUAGAGGGUGAGAAUCCCGUCCAUGAUCUCGAGUGGCUUGAUUUUGUGAUACACUUUCUACGAGUCAGGUUGUUUGGGAAUGCAGCUUAAAAUGGGUGGUAAAUUUCAUCUAAAGCUAAAUAUUGGCGAGAGACCGAUAGCGACCAAGUCCCGUGAGGGAAAGAUGAAAAGAACUUUGAAAAGAGAGUUAACCAGUACGUGAAAUUGUUGAAAGGGAAACGUUUGAAACCAGUCAGUUUGCUGGUAAUCAAUCUAUUCUUUGGGAUGGAUGCACUUCCAAGUUUACUUGUCAAUGUCAGUUUGAUGGGUUGGAAAAAGCCCUUUGAAAUGUGGCUUUCUUCGGGUAGUGUUAUAGUCAUUGGUGAAAUACAACCUAUUGGACUGAGGAAUGCAGUUGAAAUGUCGGCCUUUACGUGUUUAGUUUGAGGGGUUAUUAGACAAUUUAUUGACUAGUAAUCAUUAAAAUUAAUAGCGUAUUUGGCUUCUAAUCAGCUUAGGUCAUUGACUUAAUGGUUUUAAAUGACCCGUCUUGAAACACGGACCAAGGAGUCUAACAUAUAUGCGAGUGUUUGAGUGGCAAACUCACACGCGUAAUGAAAGUGAAUGUGGGUGCGAAUCCUUACGGAGGCAGCAUCGGCCGACUCUGAGGUUUUUAACUGACGAGUUUGAGCAAAAGCAUAUCUGUUGGGACCCGAAAGAUGGUGAACUAUGCCUGAAUAGGGUGAAGUCAGAGGAAACUCUGAUGGAGGCUCGUAGCGAUUCUGACGUGCAAAUCGAUCGUCAAAUUUGGGUAUAGGGGCGAAAGAC